rnacentral:rRNA from 1 species
UACAGAGGGUGCGAGCGUUAAUCGGAAUUACUGGGCGUAAAGCGCGCGUAGGCGGCUUUUCAAGUCGAUUGUGAAAUCCCCGGGCUUAACCUGGGAACUGCAGUCGAGACUGUCUAGCUAGAGUAUGGGAGAGGGAAGUGGAAUUUCAGGUGUAGCGGUGAAAUGCGUAGAUAUCUGGAGGAACACCGGUGGCGAAGGCGGCAUCCUGGACCGGUAUUGACGCUGAGGCGCGAAAGCCAGGGGAGCAACGGG